rnacentral:rRNA from 1 species
GUGUCAGCAGCCGCGGUAAAACGUAGGAGGCAAGCGUUAUCCGGAUUUACUGGGCGUAAAGCGCGUGCAGGCGGUUUGAGAAGUCGUGCGUGAAAGCUCCCUGGCUUAACCGGGAGAGGUCGUGCGGAACUCUCAGACUAGAGACAAGUAGAGGCAAGUGGAAUUCCGGGUGUAGUGGUGAAAUGCGUAGAGAUCCGGAGGAACACCAGUGGCGAAGGCGGCUUGCUAGGCUUGUUCUGACGCUCAGACGCGACAGCAUGGGGAGCGAACGGGAUUAGAUACCCCCGUAGUCC